CGAAGAUGCAAACGACAUACACAACGAAGACGCAAAGAAGAAGCAAGCUUACCUCAGUUCAAACGCGAGCUCCCAACUUCGACUUCGCCUUCUCACAGUUGCUUAAACUUGCUGCAAUGGUCGACGAACUUGAUUGAUGAGAUACGAGUGAGAAUGUUGAUGCAAAUGGAUGAAGAUGAGAUGCGAGAGAGAGCCUUGAAGCUGAGAUACGAGUGACAAGGUUGAAGAUGAUUAGGGUUUGAAAUUAGGAUCCUGGGUUAAUUGAGGGGGGAAUUGUGGAUUAUUAUUGGGGGGAGUAAUUGAAUAUGUUUUAGUAAGUUAAUUAGGAAUAGGGAUUGUAUUUGGAUUAGGAUUAUGAUUAAUUAGGGUAAGUUAAUUAAUUAAGGGAUUUUUUAAAUUUUUUAAUUUAAUUUUUAUUUAAUUUUUUAUGCCACGUCAGAUAAAAUUAUCCAGUCAGCAAGCCUAGUCAUCACUCGCCGGAGCUCCCAACUCCGGCGAGGACCUGCUCCACACACUUUCCAAACGCAAGGACUCACAUUUUCAAAUUUUCCUGGGAGGGACCAAUUUCAGACGGCGACACAAACACAGGGACUAAUUAGAGGAUUAACCCAUCUAACUAUUAUAUUUACUUCAUCCUUUAGUCGUGGUACUCCAUGUCAGAAUUAAUUCUCUUAUCUUACAUAUAUGAUUUGGUUGUUGAAGUAGGACCAAAAGCAAAUGAGAGAUUAAUCAACAUUGGAGCUGAGGAAUAGCAGAAGUUCUUGAUAUCCAGAUUUUCCAAACAAUGUUCAUGUUACUGAAUUUUAUUUACUGUGUGAUUUUUUUUUUUUAAUUUUUGAAGUUCUGAUUUUUGUUAGUUUAUUCACUGCAACUUCUAAUACCUUUUGAUGGCACACUGCAACUUCUAAUAUGUCCAGGACUUUAGGUUUUCAAUACUAGAUUACGCUCCCAAGUGAUUUUACUUGGUAGAGAUAACUAGGUCAGCGAUUACGGAACUUUAGAUAUUCGCAAUGGUACAAUUGCAGUGUACUUUGACUAGCAAUGUGGUUAUAAUUUUUUCCUUUUCUUGCUUUUCUUAAUUACUUGGUAUUUUUCCUCUUAUGUGUAUCAGUUAUUGCAUGGUGGAGCUGAUUGUGGUUUGGAGCGUUAGUUUAUGAUCUUAAUGUCGAGUUUGUUAACGCUGAAAAUUCCAAUGCUGUGGAGACGUCUAAUUCUCCUGCUGUUGACUUGAGUUCGGAUACUCAGCGAAUCUCUCAUGUCCCUUCUGAUCCAACUCCAAAAGUUAAAAUUGUUGGAGAUAAGUCUGCAAAACUUGAUAUGACCCUAAGAGAGAUUGAACCUGUUGGUGAAUUGGACAUCAAUAAGUCUGCUGAUUCCGAUGGUUCCAGUGGCGAGCAAUCUCCUCGAGCUACUGUUGUUCCUCUUGCUUGCAUUAGUUCAACUAAGAAAUCUACUAAAAUGUAUUUGAAGUCUAAGGAAAAGAUGAAGAGUGUUGGUGUUGAAUCGGCUGAAGCUAUCCAAGUUGCUGAAACUGCUAAAGAGCCUGAAGUGGAUGUAUCUGUUAAAAGCCAGAUUUCCCCUCCUUCCAAGCGUCCAUCCCCCCUGAUGCCGAAGUUGUUGGAGUCUCAGUUGCUGGCAAGAAACCCCUGAAAGCUAUGAAAAAGGAGAAGAUCUGAAGACUGUUUUGUGUUGUGUUGGCUGUUUUGAUGUUUUGUUAUUGUGGUUGUCUUUUCAAGCUGUUAAGUGUGUUGUUUUGUAGUCCUGGAUGUUAGUUAGUUUGUCAGUGUUGUGUUUUCUGUUUUUUCAGUUUCAUUUCAAUCUUAAUGUUCAAUCUGCCUAUUAUUAGUAUGUUUUGGGAUGGCAGAUUGGUUUAUUCAGGUCUCUGUUUUGUUGUCUUUUGGUCCGAACGAAAAUGAAUUGAAUGAAAGAAGUUAUUUUGAGUCUCAAA